CUACAAACUUCAACUUCUCUCUCUCUCUCUCUCUCUCUCUCUCUCUAUCUCUUUCACUGCAUCUUCAGUACCCACCAACCGACUUUUUCUUUCAUUCCCAAGUUCCCCCCGGGCCCCCCCGCUCUCUUAUCUCUCUGUCUCUCUCUCUCUCGCACAGAAAUUCCUUCUCUUCUCAAAUCUGAAAGCAAAAGCGCAAACACGAAUAUGGUUGUCACACUUUUGUUCCCUUUAUGUAAAAUUCCAGUCUCCACCCUCUGCUUCUUUUGUCACGCCAUCAUGACUUCCUUGAAAGUCAAGCAAGAAUAACAGAAGAACUUAUACAACCCCCUCUCCCCCUCUCUUUCGUACUCUUUUUUUGUUCUGAUCUCUCGAAUACCCAAAAAGCGCGCUGACACAAACGCACAAGAGUGAGACCCACGGGGCGUGCCAACAAUGUCCAGUAUUUUCAGGGACAUGGCUUUGGGAUCCUCCAAAAGACAUAGCCAGUAUCAGAGCCCCAUGCCGCAGCAGCAGCCCGUAUACCCGGUCGAAGGCCUGCCCUCCCCGUUCGACGACCCGGGCUCGAAUCUUUCGGACUCCGAGCUCCGAGAAACUGCUUAUGAGAUCCUCGUCGCCGCGUGUCGGAGCACCGGUACGCGGCCGUUGACCUACAUCCCGCAGUCGGAGAAAACCGAACGGGCUCCUGCGAUCUCGCAUUCGGCUUCGCUGCAGAGGUCGCUGACUUCGUCCACGGCCAGCCGGGUGAAGAAGGCUCUGGGGCUGAAAACGUCGUCGGCUUCAAAGAGGAGGGUCGGUGGCGGUGACUCGGUGAGUCAAGGGCGAGGGAAGAAGGCGGUCACGGUUGGGGAGCUUAUGAGGGUCCAGAUGAGGGUUUCAGAGCAAACCGAUUCGAGAAUUAGGAGAGCUCUUCUGAGGAUCGCUGCUGGGCAGCUUGGAAGACGAAUGGAGUCGGUGGUUUUACCACUCGAGCUAUUACAGCAGUUCAAGUCUUCCGAUUUCCCAAGUCAGCAAGAAUAUGCGGCUUGGCAAAGGAAAAAUUUGAAGGUUCUGGAAGCAGGACUUCUCCUGCAUCCUCACCUGCCGCUAGAGAAGACUAACUCUGACUCACGACGGCUCCAGCAGAUUAUUCGUGGGGCCGCAGAGAAGCCCCUAGAAACUGGAAAACACAACGAAGCAAUGCAAGUCUUGCGUAGUAGUGUUAUGUCUCUUGCUUGCAGAUCAUUUGACGGGUCUGCAACUGAGACAUGUCAUUGGGCGGAUGGGUUUCCAUUGAACCUCAGGCUCUACAAAAUGCUGUUAGAGGCAUCUUUUGAUAUAAAUGAAGAUACAUCUAUUAUUGAAGAGGUUGAUGAGGUUUUGGAACUCAUUAAGAAGACCUGGGUAAUCCUUGGUUUGAACCAAAUGCUGCAUAAUCUUUGUUUCUUGUGGGUUUUAUUCCACCGUUAUGUUGCAACUGGCCAAGUGGAAAAUGACCUGCUGUUUGCAUCCAAUAAUCUAUUGAUUGAAGUUGAAAAGGAUGCCAUUAAAAUCAGAGAUCCUGUUUCGUCAAAGAUUUUGAGUUCUAUAUUGAGUGUGAUAUUAGGCUGGGCGGAGAAGCGGCUUCUUGCUUACCAUGACAAUUUCCACAGCGGUAAUGUUGAAUCAAUGCAAAGUGUUGUCUCUCUAGGGUUAUUAUCAGCAAAAAUAUUGGUGGAAGAUGUCUCUUAUGAGUAUCGUAGGAACAGGAAAGAAGUUAGUGUCACAUGUGAAAGGGUUGAAACUUAUAUAAGAUCAUCACUUCGCACUUCUUUUGCUCAGAAAGUGGAGAAGGUGAACUCGAGCAAACAUAGAUCUAAGAACCAGAAGGGUUCUCUUCCUGCCCUUUCCAUCCUUGCACAAGACACUAGCAAACUUGCUCUAAAUGAGAAAGAGAUUUUUAGUCCAAUAAUGAAGAGGUGGCACCCCUUUGCAGCAGGUGUUGCUGUAGCUACCCUUCAUUCUUGCUAUGGAAAUGAGCUGAAGCAAUUUAUUACGGGUGUUAGUGAGUUGACUCCUGAUGCGAUAGAAGUCCUGAGGGCUGCUGACAAAUUGGAGAAAGAUCUUGUGCAGAUUGCAGUUGAAGAUGCUGUGGACAGCGAGGAUGGUGGGAAGUCCAUUAUACGAGAGAUGCCUCCUUAUGAGGCUGAAGCUGUAAUUGCCAAUCUGGUAAAGUCAUGGAUAGAGACAAGAGUGGACAGACUGAAGGAGUGGACUGAUAGGAAUCUGCAACAGGAGGUCUGGAAUCCACAAGCCAACAAAGAGCGAUGUGCUCCUUCUGCUGUUGAAGUUCUGCGAAUCAUAGAUGAAACUUUAGAAGCAUACUUUCUGUUGCCGAUUCCCAUGCAUCCGGUCUUGCUUCCAGAAUUGAUGGCUGGUUUUGACAGAUGUCUUCAACAUUACAUAUUAAAGGCCAAGUCUGGCUGUGGGACACGAAGUACUUAUGUUCCAAGUAUGCCUGCUUUGACUAGAUGCUCAACAGGAUCAAAGUUCCACGGCGUAUUCAAAAAGAAGGAAAAAUCACAAAUUACACAGAAGAGGCAGGUUGGAACUUCAAAUGGGGAUAACACCUUUGGGAUUCCCCAGCUUUGUGUUCGCUUAAAUACCUUGCAGCAAAUACGAACGGAAUUGGGAGUACUGGAGAAGAGAGUACUUGCAGAUCUUGAAAAUGCUGAAUGCACUCUGAUUUACGAUAUUGCAAAUGGGAUGGGGAAAAGGUUUGACCUUUCAGCAACUGCUUGCGUGGAAGGGAUCCAACAACUCUGUGAGGCAAUAGCAUACAAAAUCAUCUUCCAUAACUUAAACCAUGUUCUCUGGGAUGGCUUAUAUGUCGGGGAAGUUUAUUCUUGUAGGAUUGAACCAUUCCUUGAGGAGGUCGAGCAAUAUUUAGAGAUUAUUUCAUCAACAGUGCAUGACAGAGUCAGAACUAGGGUCAUUACUGACAUAAUGAAAGCUUCUUUUGAUGGGUUCCUGUUGGUUCUGCUUGCUGGGGGCCCUUCUCGUGCUUUCACUCAAAAAGAUUCUGAAAUAAUAAAGGAGGAUUUUAAGUUGCUCACAGAUCUAUUUUGGUCCAAUGGGGAUGGAUUGCCAGCUGAUUUAAUAGAUAAGGUUUCAACCACAGUUAAAAAUAUUCUUCCUCUACUUGGUACUGACACAGAGAGCCUAAUCGAGCAAUUUAAACAUCUAAUUCUUCGGAGUUUUGGCUCUGCUAACUCUAAGCUUCCAUUGCCUCCAACUUCAGCUCAAUGGGAUCCAACUGAACCAAACACGAUUUUGCGAGUUUUGUGUUAUCGGAAUGAUGAGAUGGCUGCCAAGUUUCUUAAGAAGACUUACAAUUUGCCCAAGAAACUAUAACUGCUUUGGGUUCUGAAAAUAAUGACUGAAUGAUGCAUUCAUGGGCACGGAAUGCUGCGCAGUUACUUCAAGCUUUGUAGGUGUUUAUUAUACCAACUGGAAAUUAAUUUUCCAACAACGUAAAUUCCAUUGUGGCUUCUGGAAGGGUUGCGCUAGUUGAAGGAAAAGUAUAGCUCUGGCCUCUUGUAUAGUGAUUUAUUGACUGCUUUAGAUUUAGUUAGAGCCUUUGCCAGUCAGUUGUGAGAACUCGAGGGAAUGGACUUGCUCCUUGGUUUAUGAUUAAUAAGCUUGGGUAUCUAUCACACACCAGGAAGGGUGCGGAUAUGUGUUUCAGUCCUUCCCAUAAGCUACUCGGAAGCCAACUCCUGUCCAAACUGCCACAAAAGUUUUCGCUGGAUAUGAUUUAACUCUAGAGCAUGUGGAUGUGCUCAGCAUUCAGAUUCUGACCUUGUUGAAGAUAAUGCUAGGAUGAAAAAGCAGAAAAUGUAUCGUGUUUAUGUAUUCUUACCAGAACAAAAUCUCUCUUCCUAUUUGAAUAUGGCUUGGACUGCGCGGGGUAUAUCCCAUGAAGGAACUCUGACUACACUUACAAAUCUUGUAAAGACGCAAUCUGCCUUUUCUGUAGCUAUUUAAGAACUCAUGGUUCCUCUUGCUAAAGCUGAUCCUAUUUGCUCUAAGUUGGGUUUGUCAGCUGUCUCUACUCAAAUGAAAGUGCUGGAGGGAAGAUUUGUCAGUGCAUAAAACCUGGUCUCUAGAUGCGCCUUCUUACCAUGCUUGAUAACCAUCUCACAUUCUCUGUUUCUUGGUUGUGUGUUGAUGUCAUUUUUUCCCCUUGGUUUAUGCUAAAUGCACAUAUCUCUUAGAGACUUUGUGGAAGUCGUUAACUGGUCUAUUCCUGAUGGUUUCCCUUGGAUGGCUAUUGGUGACUUCGUUAUUAAAUGGGAUCAUGAGAAGCUAGGGGUAGUCCUUUCUCCCGAAUGGCUAAAUCUGAAUUCUUGAAUUUCAUUUAUGAUAAUGCUCUUUAUGGCUUU